CUUGCUUUGUGAUACCCUGUUAGUUGUUCACUGUUUCGUUUUCCUAGCUCCUAUUUUUGUAUGUUUGCAUGCUUUAUUUCCUGCAUUGUUUUGUAGUGUUCAGUUCCACGUGUCUGUAUAGCUUUGUUUCCUGUUUGAGUCUGAUUAGUCCCUAAUAUGUUUCACCUGUUCGCUCCCUCCCUGCUCAUUUGCCCCUGUAUAAAAUGUCCUCUGUUCUGUUCAGUCUUUCGUCAGGUCCUCGUCCUAGGUUCAGUGUUUGUGCUUGGUCCCUGUUUACUGGUUUUUGUAUCGGAUCGUUUGGCAUCUUUUAGCUGUUUUGGACUUACCGGAUCUUUAUUUGGUUUUCCACUCUUGUUUGGUGUCUUGCUCAGCAUCUACACGUCAGCUGGGGUCAAGUUGUGUGUUGUAUGCAGAUCCAGGCAGGGUAGAAAUGUGUGCAGUUAGCACAAUGGACAGCGAACAAAGGCUUAUACAGGUGAUCAGCGCCAUGCGGAUGGAAAUCAGAAAGCUGGAGCUGGAGAACAUAGGCCUGAGGAGGACAGCUGGAGCUAAUCUCCGAAAGAAUGCAACAGUUCCCAUCAUGACACCAGAAUGCAGAGAGAGCGUCGUCAUGACAGUGAGAAGAUAUUCCAUCUUCCAGCCGUUGGUCAAUCAUCGGAAUUUGCAGUUGGGCAAUUCUAAAAGUGAGCGGUGGACUGGAAAACAGAAAAGAUGAAAAUUAGCAUAGUGUUGAACUGUAUCUGACACCGGCACAGAGAGUGGUCGUGUAACGUAGGUUCUGUUAAAACAGUUCCAGCUCUUGGGUUGGCGGCCUGGUCUAAAACUCUGUUAAUUGGCACAAAAUUGUGUAGGUUAUCACUGUCACGAAAUAAAAUUGUGUUAUGCCCUCGG